GCCCGAGUGCUCAGCCCCACAGCCAGGGUCAGAGCGGUUCCUGCUGCUGCCCCGGGGGUCCCCAGCUGGAGCCCGGACAGCUGGAGACUUCCAGCAGCACCUUUGAUAUUCCUCUCACUUUGUCUGGAGCAGUAUUCUACGGGAAAGACUAAAUUACGAAGAAAAGACACAUUAUUUUGUCAUUGUUCAAGCAAAUGACUGAGGACAGAAUCUUAAUGAGCGAAGGACAAGUACAACCAGCCUGACAGUAGAUGUGCUCGAUGGGGACGAUUUGGGACCAAUGUUUCUUCCCUGUGUCUUGGUGAAUAAUACUCGUGACUGUAGACCUCUCACCUACCAAGCGAGCUUGCCAGAACUGACUGAUCCUGCCACCCAAGACGGUCUUGAAUCGCUCCACUCCAUCCAUUUCUGCUCUUCCAGUAAAAGGCUCCAGCACCUGCUCACAGCUGCAAUGAGAGAGGAUCAGCAGCUACCCCACAAGCCAGGACAGGAGUGUGCAAGUGCAGACCUGUUGUAAAACAAAGAGUGGGACUCAGAAGAAAGACUCCACUGAGAGGCCACUAACAGUCAAAAGCUCAAGAGCAGCAAAAGGCAGGACUUCUACCACCGUGUACACGGGUUGAGGCAGGACACAGGGAGUACACAGACCCUUCACAGCAUCUAUCAUCAUGCAAGGGAGUUUUGAUACCAACAGCUCUUGCCAGGAGCAGCAUCCUCUCUUUUGUACCCAGCGGUGUUUUGCACCCAAACUAAGGAGCAAAGAAAGUUGCAAUCAAUGUCUGAGACCAGGCCAGCUCUGAAGAAGAGGGUGAUGGGAAUGCCUCGUGACUGAGGGCGCUCUGAGGAAUAACCAUGAGAAAACACUUGCUCCAGAACCUUGUCCAAACAUCUAUGUGACCCUUCUUUCUGAUGGGACAGAGGAGUGACAAGAAAGGGAAAGAUGCAUCUGAAACCACACGCUGCCAGCAAGAGAAAGGCUUUCGGUGAAACUUAAGGCCCCAAGAGCCACCAAAGGAACGUGAGGACUUGGGAGGCCACAGAGACUCCGUUUACCCAAGGAGAGCGGGGAAUGGCACAGACAGGGACAAGGAAGUGCCCCAGCUCAUUCAGAGGGAAGGGAAGAAAGGUGUCCACUGCACAGGAGUGUAAAAUAAUAAAAAUAAAAAAAACCCACAGAUGCAGAGAAAGACAAAGAGGAAAAAAUACGGAAGCACAUCAAGCCCUCAGAGAUAAGUUAAGAGGCACGAUCAGAGAGAAGCAAAAUAAGCCGUGCAACAGGGCAGAGCAGCUGAAGUCUCACAGGCGUGGACAAACAGAAGGAAAGUACUUUGUAAGUCCCAGAAAAAGUGUAUGAUGGUGGUGGUACCAGGAAACGUACAGUAGGGGAAAAAGCAAAACAAGCAAUGUGACGAUAACAAGGAUUUACUAGAGAGCAGGAAACUUCCACCACCAUUUUCCCUCCCCAUUCCAGCAACUGUCCCGAGAUAUCUGGGCAGACGUCACGCGGCCGGAGCUGUGGCUGUGUGAAGUUGUCUCCGGACACUGGACAAGGCUUUCACUUGGUCGUGCAUAAAAGCCUUGAGGCAUCAGAUGGUCUCCUGCCUGCCCUGUGUACCAUAUAAACUGUGAGGAAGCAAAUCAGUAAGCUGCCAAACUUUUGGAAGAAGACACCUCUCCUGUCUCCUCCAGAGCUCUCCGACUAGGCUAUGAUGAGAACUUCAGCACCAACAGUCACAGUGAGAUUCCACCUCAAUUGGCUCUUACCUCCAGAAGACAGCAGAAAAGCCACCUUUCUCCAGGAGCGGUCCGGGUCCUGGAAAGGCUGGAGCCGCAUCAAGCAGGCUGGGACAUAUUCAAGCACGUCACUGAGACCAACAGGCAGCAGCAAGAGCUGCAGCGGCAGCCGCCCUGAGGCCUGGCACCAAGACGUCUUGCCCCGAGGGGGGAAUACCUGUUUGGGACAGCCAAGGUCUCGCCCCACCUGACUCAGCCCCAGGCUGAUCCGCUGCACGGAAGGCAGAAGGGGCAGUAUGGAAGAGGAGCAACACAGUAACUGAGCUCUUGGGAACCUACUUGCAGAAGCCCCUCGCCGCUCCCGGCCCACCCGUGCGUAACCACACAGCAUCACGCUGCGCC